rnacentral:rRNA from 1 species
CCCUUAGAUGUCCUGGGCCGCACGCGCGCUACACUGACAUGUUCAACAAGCCUCCUAGUUCGACAGGAUUUGGGAAAUCUUUGAACGCAUGUCGUGAUAGGGAUAGAUCAUUGCAAUUAUUGAUCUUGAACGAGGAAUUCCUAGUAAACGCGAGUCAUCAGCUCGCAUUGAUUACGUCCCUGCCCUUUGUACGCACCGCCCGUCGCACCUACCGAUUGAAUGUUUCGGUGAAGAUUCCGGAUAGGACUUUUUUGAUUUAUUUCAAUUUUGUCUUAAAAGCUAUCUAAACCUCAACAUUUAGAGGAAGGUGAAGUCGUAACA